GAAAAAAAUGGAGGACUUUAGAAGAAAACUGACGCGGCAGCGUAAACGAGCUCAAAUUGUGGCGUCACUAUUGACGAAGCCAAGGAAGGGAAUAAACUUGCAGGCUUCAGAUUGAGGCCAUUUGAGGUCGUUUGGUUGGUGUUCUAGGCAUUGCAAAAUUGGGGAACUUCCCGUUAGUGAGAUACUAUUGGUGAAGACGAAGCUAGUAGCCGACGAGUUCUCUAGAAUUGAUUUAGUUAUUGAGGUGAGCCGCCGCAUUGUUCGUGGAGGAUGCCCAAAGAGUCUUUUAUCAUUUAUUCAUAUGCGGCCUUUGUAAUUCUAUUAGAUGCUCCAUGGUCUAGUGUGGGAUUUGGGCUAGAGUUUUAAUCUAAUAUUUUGAGAUAUUAAUUGUUCAUAAUAGUUAUCAGAUUAUUUGGGUACUCAUUUAA